rnacentral:sRNA from 1 species
UUUAUUUCACACUUUGUGAUCAAUCCAAACAUGGCAGUCUGUUGCUUUAUGGGGAAUAAAUUGUAAUAUAUGAAGAAUGUUAUUGAAUUCAUACAAACAUUGUGGAUUCCUGACCAUGAUUUUCUAUUUAAAGUAUCCAACACAGUAAUUCGUGUAAUCGGACAACAUAUUUCCUGAAGAGUCAGAUACCAGUAUCUUAUUCUGUGUCUAACGGACCGGGUGUUUAUAGCUCUACAAAAACUUAUUCAAUGAUAUAACGGACCGUGUGUUUAUAGCUCAACACAAACUUGUUCAAUGAUGUAACGGACCGUGUGUUUAUAGCUCUACAAAAACUUAUUCAAUGAUAUAAUGGACCUUGUGUUUAUAGCUCUACACAAACUUAUUCGGUGAUGUAACGGACCGUGUGUUUAUAGCUCUACACAGACUUAUUCCGUGAUGUAGCGGACCGUGUGUUUAUAGCUCUACACAGACUUAUGGGGUGUUGUAACGGACUGUGUGUUUAUAGCUUUACACAAACGUAUUCAGUGAUGUAACGGACCGUGUUUUUAGCUCUACACAGACUUAUCCGUGUUGUAGCGGACCGUGUGUUUAUAGCUCUACACAAACUUAUGCAGUGAUGUAACGGACCGGAAGUUUUUUUUAUAGCUUUACAUGAACUGUUGUUUUGGGUGAAUGAUUCCGCUGAGAACUGGUUUUUAAAAUGAAAAUUCUCAUCCAUUAUACAUGUGUCUUGGUUUUACUUACAUGUUGAUUCCAAAAUGUUAUGUCUUCUUAAUACAAUUAUUCAAUAUUGUUCACCCAUUUUUUUUUCCCUUUAUCUUUAUGUCUGUCAACUUGAAGUAUUUGAAAAUAUUUUUUGAGAAGUUCAAAUACAUACAACCAUUGUACAUGCAUAAUUGUUUGAUCAAUGUUUUAAUAAUUUAAAAUUAAUAAUUAUAGCUGAUUGAAAUGAUAUUGAUCAUUGAACUGAGUUAACAUGAAAUAUAGGGAUGACUAGAUUUUAUAGAUGUACAUUUAUACAGAAAUCCACCUUAAUUUAGUCAGUUAAAUGGCACAUUGCUAAAAUCUAAUCCAUCCAGGGCAAAGCUUGUUUAAUUUAUUUAAAUUUAUCCUAAAUAUUAAAAAAUUAAGAUAUUAAGUAAAUUUAAUGUUGUCGAACUCAAGUACAAAAUGUUUCUAUGCCCCCCUUUACAACGUAAGGUGGUAUGGGACAUCUGUCGAUAUUAAUUAGGAUUAAAGUUCUAUAUAAUUGAAAAAUUUUCACCGGUUUAGAAUUUUCAAAUUUACAAUAUUUAACCAAAGAAUACCUUUUAAAAAUAUUUGAAAAGGUAAAAAUUGUAAAACUCCCAGCAGGAUUCGAACUCAUAACUUACAGGUUCGUAGCAAACCCUCUAACCCACUGCGCUACGGAGUUAGGUGACCAGAAAGAAAGAAACUACCGGUACUUAUAUAAUUACACUUUAUUUUAUUGUUAAUUUCGAUAAAUAAUACGUCACAACAUGGAAGUGUCCUAUACCACCUUAAUGUUGUUCGAACUCAAGUACAAAAUGUUUCUAUGUCCCCCUGUACAACAACAGUUUAUUGAUGACAUUUCUCGAUAUGAGAAUACUAUUGAUUUUAACGUCAUCUCUGAACUGAAAGUCAGAUCAGCUUCUUUUACAUUGGUGCAGUUUUUUGUGUGUGCACAGAUACUGCAUUUUUGCGCUUCAUGUUAUGUUUUUUCCCAAGUAAUCUCAUUUAUGAUUCACAUUUGAUGUAUACGAAAGUGAAUAAAAUACAUUCAAC